AGGACGAACGCUGGCGGCGUGCUUAACACAUGCAAGUCGAGCGGAAAGGCCCUUCGGGGUACUCGAGCGGCGAACGGGUGAGUAACACGUGAGUAAUCUGCCCCUAGCUCUGGGAUAGCUCCGGGAAACCGGGAUUAAUACCAGAUACGACCACUUUAGACAUCUGCUGUGGUGGAAAGAAUUUCGGCUAGGGAUGAGCUCGCGGCCUAUCAGCUUGUUGGUGAGGUAACGGCUCACCAGGGCGACGACGGGUA
rnacentral:rRNA from 1 species